UCCUGGGGUCGAGUCCCCCCGGGGAGCCUGCUUCUUCCUCUGCCUGUGUCUCUGCCUCUCUCUCUGUGUCUCUCAUGAAUAAAUAAAUCAAUAAAAUCUUAAAAAAAAAAAAAUCUGUUUCUGCAUUGACCCUGCCCUGGGCUUACCAGGCCACACUCCCAGCUCUGAUGUAGGUGAGGACCCCUUCUGCCUGGGGAAUUCAGAGGCCAUUGGCCAACCAAUGAGCCCUGAAUCCCAUCUGUAGCCUCAACUAUGCUCCACUUGUUUGCUUGCUUUUAAAAUGUGAAGGUUUAUUAUUAUUGUGAUUAACCCUUUACCAGAUAAGGGCAACAUUUGUAUGAACUUUUUUACAUUUUAGAAAAGGUUUCCAUGAAUUUUCUCCUUUGACCCAGGAGGUGAAUGAAAUUAGCAGACUGUGGCGUCCACGGUGCUCACCAACUCCAGUGGUGAGGGAGGCCUGCCCGGUCAGCGCUGCUCUGUUCUGACCUCCCUCCGAGCUAUUCCCACAAGCAGGUGGCUUUGGCAGCACCCAGAGGGCACACCAGAUGAGAUUUUAUUUAUUUAUUCACGAGAGAGACAGAGAGAGAGGCAGAGACACAGGCAGAGGGAGAAGCAGGCUCCUCCCAGGGAGCCUAAUGCAAGACUCCAUCCUGGGACCCCGGGAUCAUGCCCUGAGCCACCCAGCUGUCUCAAAGGAUGCCUAGUUUCUAAAGAAAGGGAUUUAACAGGUUCCUGAUGGGAUUUUCAAUAAAAAUGAAAAAAAUGCAAGAACCCCUGAAAAUUUCAGGAUCAGCUAUCCAGAAAACUUGCUUAUACAGAAUUUGUAGCUGGAAAAAUUCAAAGAGCCUUUCACCAUACUUUGGUUAUUUUUAUCAUUUUAUAUAUAUAUAAAUCACUUUAUAUAUAUAUAAAGUGAUAUAAAUAUAAAUAUAUACAUAUGUAUAUAUUCUGUAUAUAUAUAUAUUAGCAAACAAAGUCAGUGCUAACAACCAUUUUAAAAAAACAUUUAAAAGUGUUUUUUUUCUUUUUUCGUCAGGAGGAUUUUUAUACUCUUUACCAAAUAGCUUCCUCGAAAUGGGGGUUUAUUUUGUUUUUUUGUUUGUUUGUUUUUUGGUCUUUGGAAAUGUUUCUCAGUCAGGAUGCUAUCUGGUGGGGAAAAUCCUGAGUAUAAAUUCCUGUACUGUCACAGUUUUUAAGCUAGAGCAAAACACCUGGCUGUUUCCUAUCUCCAUUUUCUCAUCUAUGAAAUAAGACUUACUGUGUUUCAAAGUUUUUAUGUGCGGAAAGCCUCUGUCCAGUAUCUGAGAGAGAAUCUCAGAAUAUAUAUUUUAAAAAUUUUGCCUUAAAAAAAUAAAAAAUAAAUAAAAUUGCCUUUUGAUCAGA